UACAUUCAGUCCCAAGACACGU
rnacentral:miRNA from 1 species